rnacentral:rRNA from 1 species
AUACGGAGGGUGCAAGCGUUGUUCGGAAUUAUUGGGCGUAAAGAGCAUGUAGGCGGACUGUUAAGUCUGGUGUGAAAGCCCGGGGCUCAACCCCGGAAGUGCAUUGGAUACUGGCAGACUUGAGUAUGGGAGAGGAAAGUGGAAUUCCGAGUGUAGGAGUGAAAUCCGUAGAUAUUCGGAGGAACACCAGUGGCGAAGGCGGCUUUCUGGACCAAUACUGACGCUGAGAUGCGAAAGCGUGGGGAGCGAACAGGAUUAGAUACCCUAGUAGUCC